CAGGUGGGACUACCCGCUGAACUUAAGCAUAUCAAUAAGCGGAGGAAAAGAAAAUAACUAUGAUUCCCUUAGUAACGGCGAGUGAACAGGGAGAAGCCCAAAUUUGUAAUCUGGCACUUUUUACAGGUGUCCGAGUUGUAAUUUGUAGAACUGCUAUCCGUACUGGACCAUGUACAAGUCUGUUGAAAAGCAGCAUCAUUGAAGGUGAAAAUCCUGUAGAUGAUAUGGACUACCAGUAUAUUUGUGAUGCGGUUUCUAAGAGUCGAGUUGUUUGGGAAUGCAGCUCAAAGUGGGUGGUAAAUUCCAUCUAAGGCUAAAUAUGAGUGAGAGACCGAUAGCAUACAAGUACCGUGAGGGAAAGAUGAAAAGAACUUUGAAAAUAGAGUUAACAGUACGUGAAAUUGCUGAAAGGGAAACGUUUGAAGUUAGUUUUGUAUUCGUUGGAUCAGCUUCGCAAGGAGUGUAUUCCGAUGAUAGGCAAGUCAACAUCAAUCUAUGAGUGUUGGAUAAGGGUUUUGAGAACGUAGCAAUUCAGUUGUGUUAUAGCUCGAGACUUGGAUACGAUGCUUUGGAUUGAGGAACGCGUAGUAAGCUUUGAGCGGAUUCGAAAGGAUCUCCUUACUAUGGAUGUUGGUGAAAUAACUUUAAGCGAC
rnacentral:rRNA from 1 species